rnacentral:lncRNA from 1 species
AUGGGAUGGGAUGGGAUGGGAUGGGAUGGGAUGGGAUGGGAUGGGACAGGAUGGCAUGAGACAGGACAGGACAGGAUGAGAUGGGAUGAGAUGGUGUGAGAUGCGAUGGGAUGAGAUAGGAUAGGACGGAAUGGGACGGGAUGGGAUAGGAUGGGAUAGGAUAGGAUAGGAUAGGAUAGGAUAGGAUAGGAUAGGAUGGGAUGGGAUGGGAUGGGAUGGGAUGGGAUGGGAUGGGAUGGGAUGGGACGGGACAGGACAGGAUGAGAUGGGAUGAGAUGGUGUGAGAUGCGAUGGGAUGAGAUAGGGUAGGAUGGAAUGGGAUGGGAUGGGACAGGAUGGGAUGGGAUGGGAUGAGAUGAGAUGGGAUGGAAUGGGAUGGAAUGAGAUGGGAUGGGAUAGGAUAGGAUGGGAUGGACGGAAUGGGAUGGGAUGAGACAGGACAGGAUGGGAUAGGAUGGGAUGAGAUGGGAUGGGAUGGGAUGGAUGGGAUAGGACAGGAUGAGAUGGGAUGAGAUGGUGUGAGAUGCAAUGGGAUGAGAUAGGAUAGGACGGAAUGGGAUGGGACAGGAUAGGAUGGGACGGGAUGAGAUGAGAUGGGAUAGAAUGGGAUGGAAUGAGAUGGGAUGGGAUGGGAUGGGAUGGAACAGGAUAGAAUAGGACAGGAUGGGAUGAGACAAGACGAGAAGGGAUGGGACAGGAUGGGAUGAGACCGGAUGAAUGUAUGUCUUGCUGCACUUCUCCCUCUGGGCUGAAAUACCAAUUCCAGUGAAUUCAGUAUCAGAUAAUUUGGUGGCACUGAGAUGCCAGCUCUGAUUUCCCACUCUAAGCUUGAUGAUUCCUUAUCAGCACAUCUGUCAGUAUUUACUGGCCAGCAGGUUUCACAGGCAAAUUCAAAAGAAUAAAUCCAUUAUUGUGGCACCAUUCCUGUCUUGGCAACUUUCAGGAUCUGACUUAGGUGCCUAAAUUACACAACCAGCCUUCCAAGGAUACCUCAGCAGUCAAUGGAAAGGAGAAAGACAUUCAUGAGUACAAUUCAGAGUAAGAAAUCAGUACUGGGGCCUGUUUUCCUCCAUUAAUUGUAUAGGAAGAAAAAGUUAUUGUCCAAAUGUCCAUACUUCACAGAGUCACAGUCACAUAAUGGUUGAGGUAGGAAGUGUUUGAUCUCUGGACCUGCUCCAGCACCUGUGCCAGCAAAGACAGGA